GCAAGUCGAACGGCAGCAUAGGUACUUGUACCUGAUGGCGAGUGGCGGACGGGUGAGUAAUGCAUAGGAAUCUGCCCAACUGUAGGGGAUAACGCAGGGAAACUUGCGCUAAUACCGUAUACGACCUGAGGGUGAAAGCGUGGGAUCUUCGGACCACGUGCAGAUGGAUGAGCCUAUGUCAGAUUAGCUUGUUGGUGGGGUAAUGGCUCACCAAGGCGACGAUCUGUAGCUGGUCUGAGAGGACGAUC
rnacentral:rRNA from 1 species